UCAUAUGUACAUGCCUACAAUGUUAAUGCAUUGGAUCCCAUUAGAAAUCUAUAGUUAAGAGCGCUUAGGAGAGAGUAGUACUAGGAUGGGUGACCUCUUGGGAAGUCCUAGUGUUUUACAUGCC
rnacentral:rRNA from 1 species